CCACCAGCCCCACCCGCGGGAGGCCCUGCGGGGUUGGGCCGCGCUGAGCGGGAGCCCCGCGGCGCUGUCCCGCCUACGCACCGCAUCCCCCGGACUGGGAGCUGCGCCUCCGGGAAGGGCAGCCUGGGGCAGCGCCGCCGCCUGAGGGCGGCUCUUCCCCCGCGGACACCCGCGUGGCCUCGGGGCAACGCUGCGGGGCGGCCGCGCCUCUCACCCGCCUGUGGGCGCGGGGCAAGGAGCGGCGCCAGCCCCUCCGCUGAAAGUCCUAGGACAGGAAAGCUAGUAGAGGACCUUGUCCUGCAAAUUAGGAGCUGGAGGGAGCAUCCUUACUGUUAUCUGGAUUCCUCAGCCUCAAGAAGGUCUGUUUAAUCAAUAAAUGACUGUGCCAAAGCAGACCUGCAGCCUAUGUGGUUACUAGCUGAUACCCCUAGAGGUGUGCCUGUUUAAACAUGUUUAACUAUUGUUUUAAGCUUAACUUUCUACUAAAGUCACUUAAAUGUAGCUUCCUCCUAAAUAUGUGCUUAUUUACUCAAAAUAAAGAAGCUAAGCUAUACCAUGUACUCUAAUAAAACAGUA